rnacentral:rRNA from 1 species
UGAGGAAUAUUGGUCAAUGGGCGCAAGCCUGAACCAGCCAUCCCGCGUGCAGGAAGACGGCCCUAUGGGUUGUAAACUGCUUUUCCAGGGGACGAAUAGUUUCUACGUGUAGAGACAUGACGGUACCUUGGGAAUAAGCAUCGGCUAACUCCGUGCCAGCAGCCGCGGUAAUACGGAGGAUGCAAGCGUUAUCCGGAUUCAUUGGGUUUAAAGGGUGCGUAGGCGGAUUGAUAAGUCAGUGGUGAAAUCCUACAGCUUAACUGUAGAACUGCCAUUGAUACUGUUAGUCUUGAGUGUGGUUAAGGUAGACGGAAUUUGUGAUGUAGCGGUGAAAUGCUUAGAUAUUACACAGAACACCAAUUGCGUAGGCAGCUUACUGGACCGACACUGACGCUGAGGCACGAAAGCGUGGGGAGCGAACA